UACAGAGAUGAGGGCACACCUGGGCAAGGCUGGGACUCACCUGGAUCUAGAACUAAGGAGAGAAGUCUGGAUUCCUAAAAUAGAUUUGGGAGUCUUCAAGCAAAGCCAUGGAAUAUAAGAAGAAAGAGGACAAAAAAAAUCAACAUUUCAAAGAGGAAGUCCUAAGGAAUACCAACAUUUCAGAGAUCUGCAAAGGAAGCAAAAUUCAUGAAAAAACCUAAGUCUCUGAAUCUCUCAUUCCGGUUAAAACCAGCCACCAUGAUGUGAGGAUACUCAAGCAGCUGUGCAGAGAGGCCACGUGGAAAGGAAACAACUUGCCAGCAAGAUGUGUUAGCCACCUUGAAAGCAGAUCCUCCUG